GUGUGGCUCAGCGGUGAGCACUUGCUUAGCAUGCAGGAGGCCCUAGGUUCCAUCCCCAGCAC
rnacentral:tRNA from 1 species